UGGUCAUAUUGCAUUAAAACACUGGUUUCUGUAUGAUCAGCAAAGUUAAGCAAUGUCGAGCCUCACCAGUACCUAGAUGGGUGACUGAUUGGGAAUACAUGGUGCUGUAA